GAUGAACGCUGGCGGCGUGCCUAACACAUGCAAGUCGAGCGGCAGCGAGGGGUGCUUGCACCCUGUCGGCGAGCGGCGGACGGCUGAGUAACGCGUGGGAACGUGCCCCAAAGUGAGGAAUAACUGCCCGAAAGGGUAGCUAAUACCGCAUAUUAUCUUCGGAUCAAAGGAUUUAUCCGCUUUGGGAGCGGCUCGCGUCGGAUUAGGUAGUUGGUGAGGUAAUGGCUCACCAAGCCGACGAUCCGUAGCUGGUCUGAGAGGAUGACCAGCCAGACUGGAACUGAGACACGGUCCAGACUCCUACGGGAGGCAGCAGUGAGGAAUCUUCCACAAUGGGCGAAAGCCUGAUGGAGCAACGCCGCGUGCAGGACGAAGGCCUUCGGGUUGUAAACUGCUUUUAUAAGUGAGGAAUAUGACGGUAACUUAUGAAUAAGGACCGGCUAACUACGUG
rnacentral:rRNA from 1 species